CCCCCCCCCCCCCCCCCCCCCCCCCCCCCCCCCCCCCCCCCCCCCCCCCCCCCCCCCCCCCCCCCCCCCCCCCCCCCCCCCCCCUGGCGGCAGCCCCGCAGCCUCCGCACCUCCCGGCUGCACUGCGUCUCGAUGAUGCUCAGCACGCCGCGCACCAGCAGCGCCGUGUGGCGCCGCAGGCGAGGCUGCAGCCGCUGCUGCAGCACCUCCCUGUCCGGCCCGAAGAUGCACAGCGCCAGCAGGAUGCUGCUCUCCGCAGUCUUUACCUGCCACCACCGCUCCCGGUAGAUCUUCUGCAGCCACUGCUGCAGCCAGGAGCGCACGGGGUCCAGCAGGUGCCACCUCCUGCGGAAAAGCUCUGCCCAGAGCUCGGGCAGGAUGCCGCCCACGGCCUCCGGCCCGGCAGCGCCCUGCUCGGCCGGCGGCGGCGGCGGUCCCUGCGGGGCAGAGCCCGUCCCCGUGCCGCCGCAGCUCCCUGCCUCUCGGGGGUGCCUGACGAUGCACUGCAGGCAGUCGCCGUCCUGCUCCGAGAAGCUGACGGUGGAGAUGGGGCUCCUGCAGAGCGGGCAGGUGCGGGUGCCCCGCAGCCAGCGCAGGAUGCAGCCCAGGCAGAACUCGUGGCGGCAGGGCAGGGCGUGGGCGAUGUCCCCCGGCGCCUCGCAGCAGAUGGGGCAGCUCCGCUCCCUCCUGCCGCUGGCCAUGCCGCCCUCUGCCUCCCUGCCCAAAUCGGCGCGGCCGGGCUCAUAAUCCGUGGGCCAGUGAGGUCAGAGUGCGGCGCCGCUUUGUGCCGCCCUUCGCCCCCACCCAGUGAUGCCACAAUGGGACAAUCGCUUUGGCACAGUUGGCCGAAGGAGCCUCACAGAUAAAAUUCCAUGCACGGAAUAUCAGUGCAGCUCUUGCUGGAAACUACAGGCCAUCAUGGAUAAAAUUAAUGAGAUCAAGAAGAAGGAAAAUUAAAGGUAAUUAACAUUAUGUGUUUAAUGAAAGUAAUACACAACAUCAGAACUGAACUUAAAGUCGCUGCUCAGACAAGAACUGCAUUUGUUAACAAAUGGGCACUGCUUACCUCUCAGAAUUAACCUACAUUUUACAUUAAAGUCACUAGUUUAAGAAACAGAUUGUACCACUAGAGAGGAUAUUUGACAGAAGAACAGCAAGACAAUUAAAC
rnacentral:lncRNA from 12 species